rnacentral:lncRNA from 1 species
AAUAACAACUACUAUAAUUAUCAAGUCACUUAUCUGGGAUUCCUGAAAACAAUUAAUGGAUUCCAUACCCACAAAAGACCAUUUAGCACUUACAGGUGAUUUACCUCUUUUAUGUGGUGAUGAUGAAGAACUUUUAAUUUUGUCACUGUCAAAACGUAAGAUUUCAACAACAUAAACACGGAAGAUCCAUUACAGACAUGAACUGAUGAAGGAAGAAAAGGGAAGGAAGGAAGAAAGUCUCAUUAAGUUUCCAAGAAAUCUGUAUCCAGAGAGAGCCACUGAGGGUAAUAGCAUAUUCACACUAAAAAUAAAUAAAUAAAUAAAAAAUAAAUAAAAAAAUCC